AUUGCACGCUGGCGGCAGGCUUAACACAUGCAAGUCGAACGAGCGGCGGACUGGUGGGUAAUGUAUGGGAAACUGCCUGAUGGAGGGGUAUAACUACUGGAAACGGUAGCUAAUACAGCAUACCAUCAGAUGUGCCCAGAUGGGAUUAGCUAGUAGGUGGGGGAAUGUCUCACCUAGGCGACGAUCCCUAGCUGGUCUGAGAGGAGGACCAGCCACACUGGAACUGAGACACGGUCCAGACUCCUACGGGAGGCAGCAGUGGGGAAUAUUGCACAAUGGGCGGAAGCCGGAUGCAGCCAUGCCGCGUGUGUGAAGAAGGCUUUCGGGUUGUAAAGCACUUUCAGCGAGGAGGCGUUACUCGCAGAAGAAGCACCGGCUAACUCCGUGCCAGCAGCCGCGGUAAUAC
rnacentral:rRNA from 1 species